CGUAGAUUCCGUGACCACCGCCAUGUGACCCGGGACGAUUACCGUGAAAACUGAUUCCACCAGGAGGUCGCCCGCCGUAACCAUGCCCUGGACGAUUCACUUCGUAGCCGCUACUCCCGUGCCAAUGCCACGAACGAUUAAUAAUGAAGCGAAAUGUGGACGGAGGAGAGUAUUUAGUGACCUGUCGUCUGGACGAUUGCCAUAACGCGAAGGAUAUCUCGGAAGCUCCGAGGAAGUUUUUAAUCCACCACGAUGGCCAGGAUAACCAGAAUCGUGCUGAGUUUGCGAACUAACAUCGAAUCUCGAUCCGCAGCAAUUGAGACUUAAAAAUGGGGAUCAUCAUCCGUUCUGAUGUGCAACGCACGGUCGUCGUGGAGCUUCGAAUUUGGAGAAUUUCGAAGUGAAAAAAAGUGCAUGAAGUGUACGCUUCGAAAUAGUGAAGAAAAAGUGAGAAUUUAUUUCAUUACGAAAUAAAUCCUUCGUGAAUUGUUGCCGGUGUCCGGGAAGUUGAGAAAGAAAGUCUGCGCAAUUUCCAACGAAAUUUUCCACUUUCAUAGCUUACUUUUUACGAUGCAGUAUCCAUAACUCGAUAUCAAGCGUAACUGAAGGAUGUUUGUGUUAAGGAACACAGGAAAUUUCUCGUUGAAGCUACCGAACGCAUAAAUUUUCUAUUAUUUUUCCGCACGUACGUUAUUUUCUUUCUUAUCGUCCGACGUUUUUUUCUUUUCUUUCAUUCGCCAGUAAUAAGAAACUCUGCUCUUAUUGUCUCGAUGACGCGAAUCUCCUGAGUUUUGAAGAAAAGUUUACGAAACUUUUGCCAAAAGUUGGCUAAAAAUUGGGCUUGAAGAAAAAAGUAUGUGACGUACGAAAAAGUUUCGUCAAUUCCGUCAGCUUUCUUACUCCAUUUUUCCCCCGUUUUCCUCCGCUCUGUUCUCCUCUAUUUCCAUUUUUUUUGUCAAUUUCAGUCGAUAUACAAAACCCGCAAUAUUACGAUUAGAAAAGUAGUAGAAAAAUAUGAAAAAAAAAAAAACAAAUAGAAAUAUCUUCGUACGUCAGCCUUGGCCUUAAUUCGAUGAAAGAGCCACGCAUUACGCGACGUCCGGUUCGACACAGAAGCGUUAUCUGCGUCAAAAGUUAUUCCGGUGGGAAAAAUGUAAAGCAUAUUUGGGAGCGACAAUUAGUUCCGUCUAAAUGACAAAUUUCUUUCCAAACUCUGACCAAUUGUGUAAUAUUUUGUCACGCAUCGAUAUACGAGAUUGCUGAACAAAAGAGUUCGUUGAGUAACGUUGAACUAUUGUUGAUCAAAAAACAAAAAAAAAAAAUUAAAAAAAAAAAAAACAAACUAACGAUUGUGCACAUUCUUUCUUCUG